ACACAACAAGUUGCUCAUUGCUGAUUUUAAUGUUUUUCUAUAAUUAAAUUCCUGUCAGCUCUUUUGGGAUUCCAGGAACAUUACACAACUCACUGCAACUGGUUAUAUUUGAAUUUGAAUAUUUAACAGAUACUGAGGCCACAGGCUAGGGAGAUUUUCUUCCUAGAUUCCCUCUGGGGCAGCGGUUGGAGAGAUGAGAGUAGAACCAGUCUAUUCAGGUUUUUAGGGCACCUCACAUAAUCCUGGACAGUGGUAGUUCUGUUUGAAACCACUUGUCCUUUGUUUGUUUUAAUUAAUGGUUCUGUUUUUAUUUGAUCUAAAAUAUUCCAUUCCAUAUUCCAACUAUUUUGAUUCCUUAAACAGAUGGAAACAGAACUAUUCAUCUUUUUUGAGACGGGCAGUUCUGUUUAAGCCUGUUAUGAAAACUUUUUUAUUUGAAGUUCCAACCUCUUCCUUAUUCAGUUCAAGCUUUGUUCCAAGCGUUUAUGCAUGCUUUUCAAUCAAAAGUUGAUUGAAGUUGAGUGACUUUUAUUUCGCUUAUUAUUUGUACAGACACGUUGCUCACAGCCUCUCUUCUGGCCCCUGGAGAGAGCUUGGUGUGAAUGAUGUCCAGGGCCUAACCAAGCAAGGGUGCUCCAACAACUGUGGCGUGUUUGUUUUGAUGGAAAACAUGCUGCAAAUUAGGAGAUGGUGGUGUCUCGCUCUCCUGCAGAACUUCCCCAUGCCGUCUGAAGAAGACCGAUUGCAGGACAGAAAACGGCGACGAGUGCAAGGAGGGCUACAGGUGAGAGGUCAUGUGAUUAUUUAGUCUUGUAGUCAACUAUUGCUAGACUAAAGCGUAAUUCCUCCACUUAUUUCAAUUACCUUAGUUUUACAUCUUGCAUUGUUAUUGUGCCUAUAAGAACCGCAAUCUGUUUCCUUUCUAGACAGUGGAAAAAGAACAGAACUGGAAACAGGGAACAGGGUUGCUUGUUAUGGGCCAGAAAAAUACCUUGAUACUUGCCAUUGUUAAACAUUUAUGGAAGCUUAAGGAAUGUAUUUGGCUAGGCUAAAACAAUUUUUUUUUUUCUUUACAGAUCAAACAUUUUUAGCCUGGGGUGAAAAAUAAAAUCAAUGAUGCAAAG